ACAUACAGUAUGCAAGGUUAAAAGUAUUUCAGGUUCUUAUUAAAGCAUGUGUAUCAAAAGCAUUCAUGUACAUACGUCGCAAAAGUUCAGCCCCUCACAUUCUUGAUUCACCU